rnacentral:rRNA from 1 species
AACGAACGCUGGCGGCAUGCCUAACACAUGCAAGUCGAACGAGACCUUCGGGUCUAGUGGCGCACGGGUGCGUAACGCGUGGGAACCUGCCCUUAGGUUCGGAAUAACUCCCCGAAAGGGGUGCUAAUACCGGAUAAUGUCUUCGGACCAAAGAUUUAUCGCCUUUGGAUGGGCCCGCGUUGGAUUAGCUAGUUGGUAGGGUAAAAGCCUACCAAGGCGACGAUCCAUAGCUGGUCUGAGAGGAUGAUCAGCCACACUGGGACUGAGACACAGCCCAGACUCCUACGGGAGGCAGCAGUGGGGAAUAUUGGACAAUGGGCGAAAGCCUGAUCCAGCAAUGCCGCGUGAGUGAUCAAGGCCUUAGGGUUGUAAAGCUCUUUUACCCGGGAUGAUAAUGACAGUACCGGGAGAAUAAGCUCCGGCUAACUCCGUG